rnacentral:rRNA from 1 species
GUAGGUGGCAAGCGUUGUCCGGAAUUAUUGGGCGUAAAGCGCGCGCAGGCGGUUCUUUAAGUCUGAUGUGAAAGCCCACGGCUCAACCGUGGAGGGUCAUUGGAAACUGGAGAACUUGAGUACAGAAGAGGAAAGCGGAAUUCCACGUGUAGCGGUGAAAUGCGUAGAGAUGUGGAGGAACACCAGUGGCGAAGGCGGCUUUCUGGUCUGUAACUGACGCUGAGGCGCGAAAGCGUGGGGAGCAAACAGGGAUUAGAUACCCUGGUAGUCCACGCCGUAGACGAUGAGUGCUAAGUGUUAGGGGGGUUUUCCGCCCCCCUUAGUGCUGCAGCUAACGCAUUAAGCACUCCGCCUGGGAGUACGGCCGCAAGGCUG